rnacentral:sRNA from 1 species
CCCAGGGCGUUGCCCUGGGCUUUCCUAUUUCGCCCCUUCGGGGCC